rnacentral:rRNA from 1 species
UCGGCGUGCCUAAUACAUGCAAGUCGAACGAGUUCUGAUUAUUGAAAGGUGCUUGCAUCUUGAUUUAAUUUUGAACGAGUGGCGGACGGGUGAGUAACACGUGGGUAACCUGCCCUUAAGUGGGGGAUAACAUUUGGAAACAGAUGCUAAUACCGCAUAAAUCCAAGAACCGCAUGGUUCUUGGCUGAAAGAUGGCGUAAGCUAUCGCUUUUGGAUGGACCCGCGGCGUAUUAGCUAGUUGGUGAGGUAACGGCUCACCAAGGCAAUGAUACGUAGCCGAACUGAGAGGUUGAUCGGCCACAUUGGGACUGAGACACGGCCCAAACUCCUACGGGAGGCAGCAGUAGGGAAUCUUCCACAAUGGACGCAAGUCUGAUGGAGCAACGCCGCGUGAGUGAAGAAGGCUUUCGGGUCGUAAAACUCUGUUGUUGGAGAAGAAUGGUCGGCAGAGUAACUGUUGUCGGCGUGACGGUAUCCAACCAGAAAGCCACGGCUAACUACGUGCCAGCAGCCGCGGUAAUACGUAGGUGGCAAGCGUUAUCCGGAUUUAUUGGGCGUAAAGCGAGCGCAGGCGGUUUUUUAAGUCUGAUGUGAAAGCCCUCGGCUUAACCGAGGAAGUGCAUCGGAAACUGGGAAACUUGAGUGCAGAAGAGGACAGUGGAACUCCAUGUGUAGCGGUGAAAUGCGUAGAUAUAUGGAAGAACACCAGUGGCGAAGGCGGCUGUCUGGUCUGUAACUGACGCUGAGGCUCGAAAGCAUGGGUAGCGAACAGGAUUAGAUACCCUGGUAGUCCAUGCCGUAAACGAUGAAUGCUAGGUGUUGGAGGGUUUCCGCCCUUCAGUGCCGCAGCUAACGCAUUAAGCAUUCCGCCUGGGGAGUACGACCGCAAGGUUGAAACUCAAAGGAAUUGACGGGGGCCCGCACAAGCGGUGGAGCAUGUGGUUUAAUUCGAAGCAACGCGAAGAACCUUACCAGGUCUUGACAUCUUUUGAUCACCUGAGAGAUCAGGUUUCCCCUUCGGGGGCAAAAUGACAGGUGGUGCAUGGUUGUCGUCAGCUCGUGUCGUGAGAUGUUGGGUUAAGUCCCGCAACGAGCGCAACCCUUAUGACUAGUUGCCAGCGUUUAGUUGGGCACUCUAGUAAGACUGCCGGUGACAAACCGGAGGAAGGUGGGGAUGACGUCAAAUCAUCAUGCCCCUUAUGACCUGGGCUACACACGUGCUACAAUGGAUGGUACAACGAGUUGCGAGACCGCGAGGUCAAGCUAAUCUCUUAAAGCCAUUCUCAGUUCGGACUGUAGGCUGCAACUCGCCUACACGAAGUCGGAAUCGCUAGUAAUCGCGGAUCAGCACGCCGCGGUGAAUACGUUCCCGGGCCUUGUACACACCGCCCGUCACACCAUGAGAGUUUGUAACACCCGAAGCCGGUGGCGUAACCCUUUUAGGGAGCGAGCCGUCUAAGGUGGGACAAAUGAUUAGGGUG